GUGCCAGCCGCCGCGGUAAUACCGGCAGCCCGAGUGAUGGCCGAUCUUAUUGGGCCUAAAGCGUCCGUAGCUGGCUGCGCAAGUCCGUCGGGAAAUCCACUCGCCCAACGAGUGGGCGUCCGACGGAAACUGUCCGGCUUGGGGCCGAACGACCCGAGGGGUACGUCCGGGGUAGGAGUGAAAUCCUGUAAUCCUGGACGGACCGCCGGUGGCGAAAGCACUUCGAGAAAACGGAUCCGACAGUGAGGGACGAAAGCCAGGGUCUCCAACCGGAUUAGAAACCCCUGUAGUCC
rnacentral:rRNA from 1 species